UGCACUGGGCCGGGAGACACCGCUGGGCUGCGCGGCGUGGGAGGAGCCUGCAGAGGGCGUGGUGGGGACCCGGUGGCAGGAGGAACAGCAUCAGCCCUGGUCGCACCACUUUCCCCGCUCCCCCCACCCAGGUAGAGAAGGCAGGGGCUGCAGGGCCGGGGGCUGCAGGGCCAGGGCCAGCCACAACCCUCUCCCGCUCCGAGGAGGACAUAGGCGAAGCGAGUUUCAAGUCAUAGGGGCAGCCCCGAGAAAGAGGCCCCAUGGGCGACUCGCGGCCGUCGGUUGUUGCGAGUGCCCCUGAAGUGGCGCGGACCCCACCGCCCGGCGUCUGCCCUGGGUGACAGGAGGGCACCUAGAAGUGGGGGAAGAACUGCCGCCGCUCCUUCCUCGCGACCGGGAGGAGUGCUGCCGGCGCUGCCCGCGUUCUCGCCUCCUUUUAAAAGAACCGCCAAAGUGGUCACCGAAAACGGAGGAGGAAUAGAACGCUCAGCUGCAGCAAAAGAAACCAAUGGGCAGGAGAGAUGAAGAGAAGAAACUUUAACGGAAUUUCAUUUAAAAAAAUGCACUCAGGCAGCUGCAUCCUCGCGGCCCCCGCCGCAGCCUGGACCUUGGGAACCAGCAGCCCAGAGCCAGGAAGCCCCAGCAUUCAGGGCCCAGACAGACCCCAAAAUCCCAGACCAGAGGCAGGGAAGGAUGGUGCGAGGAGGAGCCCAGGACCCACACGCCAGGGCCAGGGCCAGCGCCGGCUCCCAGUGGGUGCCUCCUUCCAAGGCUGGAGAGGGAGGCAGAAUGGAGGGCUUCCCAGGUCGGAGCGACCCUACAGGCUGGGCAGGUGGAGGGAAGGGUGCAGGGCAUGUCCUGGAGACCUCCCCUCAGCCUGAAACUGGCUUCUCCUCUGCCUCUCCGCCUGUGGGUGCCCCUGUGCUCUGGUAACACCCCAGGCACCAGCUGUGCCCUCACCAGGCUACCUGCCCGCCCCUUCCUUCUGCCAUCCCCAUCAGUGGGCUGCUUCAGAGCCCCGGCCCUUCUGGGGCUACAGGGGAGGAUGCACCCGCAGCAUGCUCUGCACUGAGGAGCAGGCAGUGGGCGCUGAUGCCACCUGUCCUACUGACAGCUCCUCACCCAGCAAGGCCGACCCAGCCCUGGGUGGAAGAGGAGCCAGUGAGGUGGACUGGGGAGAGGCUGCACCUUCACCCAGGCCUGCCCACAGCAUGGCCCGUCCACUUCCUGCACGGGCUCUGGGAUCUGCUUUCCAUGGAGCUCCACGGCCAUGACCAGCCCGGUCCUGGGAGAGGACGGCCUGGGUGGUGGUGUGUCUGCAGACACGAUCUGGGCACGGGGCCUAGGAAGUGACUGGCUCAGCCUGGAG